rnacentral:rRNA from 1 species
AGGACGAACGCUGGCGGCGUGCUUAACACAUGCAAGUCGAGCGGAAAGGCCCUUCGGGGUACUCGAGCGGCGAACGGGUGAGUAACACGUGAGUAACCUGCCCCGGACUUUGGGAUAACCCUCGGAAACGGGGGCUAAUACCGGAUACGACACAGAGCUGCAUGGUUUCUGUGUGGAAAGUUUUUCGGCUGGGAUGGGCUCGCGGCCUAUCAGCUUGUUGGUGGGGUGAUGGCCUACCAAGGCGACGACGGGUA